AGCUUUGCACAGUGGCAGUAUCGUAGCCAAUAAGGUUUAUCUGAGGUAUGGUUAUAGCUAAUUGAAAACUUCCCAAUACCCUGCUGUGAUGACUUGAAAUAUAGUCAGCACUGGCAAUUUUUGAUGGUCUCUACAGAGA
ensembl:snRNA U4 U4 spliceosomal RNA